rnacentral:rRNA from 1 species
UUACCAGGUCUUGACAUCCCUUGACCAACUCCAGAGAUGGAGCGUUCCCUUCGGGGACAAGGUGACAGGUGGUGCAUGGUUGUCGUCAGCUCGUGUCGUGAGAUGUUGGGUUAAGUCCCGNAACGAGCGCAACCCUUAUUACUAGUUGCCAGCAUUUAGUUGGGCACUCUAGUGAGACUGCCGGUGACAAACCGGAGGAAGGUGGGGAUGACGUCAAAUCAUCAUGCCCCUUAUGACCUGGGCUACACACGUGCUACAAUGGCGUAUACAACGAGUUGCCAACCCGCGAGGGUGAGCUAAUCUCUUAAAGUACGUCUCAGUUCGGAUUGUAGGCUGCAACUCGCCUACAUGAAGUCGGAAUCGCUAGUAAUCGCGGAUCAGCACGCCGCGGUGAAUACGUUCCCGGGUCUUGUACACACCGCCCGUCACACCAUGAGAGUUUGUAACACCCAAAGCCGGUGGGGUAACCUUUUAGGAGCCAGCCGUCUAAGGUGGGACAGAUGAUUAGGGUGAAGUCGUAACAAGGUAAGCGUAGAUGA